UACGUAGGGCGCAAGCGUUGUCCGGAAUUAUUGGGCGUAAAGGGCUCGUAGGCGGUCUGUCGCGUCGAAAGUGAAAACCCAGGGCUUAACCCUGGGCCUGCUUCCGAUACGGGCAGACUAGAGGUAUGCAGGGGAGAACGGAAUUCCUGGUGUAGCGGUGAAAUGACGCAGAUAUCAGGAGGAACACCGGUGGCGAAGGCGGUUCUCUGGGCAUUACCUGACGCUGAGGAGCGAAAGCAUGGGGAGCGAACAGG
rnacentral:rRNA from 1 species